CCUACGGGAGGCAGCAGUGAGGAAUAUUGGUCAAUGGACGAGAGCCUGAACCAGCCAAGUAGCGUGAAGGAUGACUGCCCUAUGGGUUGUAAACUUCUUUUAUAUGGGAAUAAAAUGUUCCACGUGUGGGAUUUUGUAUGUACCAUAUGAAUAAGGAUAGGCUAACUCCGUGCCAGCAGCCGCGGUAAUACGGAGGAUCCGAGCGUUAUCCGGAUUUAUUGGGUUUAAAGGGCGCGUAGGUGGAUUGUUAAGUCAGUUGUGAAAGUUUGCGGCUCAACCGUAAAAUUGCAGUUGAAACUGGCAGUCUUGAGUACAGUAGAGGUGGGCGGAAUUCGUGGUGUAGCGGUGAAAUGCUUAGAUAUCACGAAGAACUCCGAUUGCGAAGGCAGCUCACUGGACUGCAACUGACACUGAGGCUCGAAAGUGUGGGUAUCAAACAGGAUUAGAUACCCCAGUAGUC
rnacentral:rRNA from 1 species